GCGGUAGCACAAGAGAGCUUGCUCUCUGGGUGACGAGCGGCGGACGGGUGAGUAAUGUCUGGGAAACUGCCUGAUGGAGGGGGAUAACUACUGGAAACGGUAGCUAAUACCGCAUAACGUCUACGGACCAAAGUGGGGGACCUUCGGGCCUCACGCCAUCAGAUGUGCCCAGAUGGGAUUAGCUAGUAGGUGGGGUAAUGGCUCACCUAGGCGACGAUCCCUAGCUGGUCUGAGAGGAUGACCAGCCACACUGGAACUGAGACACGGUCCAGACUCCUACGGGAGGCAGCAGUGGGGAAUAUUGCACAAUGGGCGCAAGCCUGAUGCAGCCAUGCCGCGUGUGUGAAGAAGGCCUUAGGGUUGUAAAGCACUUUCAGCGAGGAGGAAGGGUUCAGUGUUAAUAGCACUGUUCAUUGACGUUACUCGCAGAAGAAGCACCGGCUAACUCCGUGCCAGCAGCCGCGGUAAUACGGAGGGUGCAAGCGUUAAUCGGAAUUACUGGGCGUAAGCGCMCG
rnacentral:rRNA from 1 species